rnacentral:rRNA from 1 species
AUUGAACGCUGGCGGCAUGCUUUACACAUGCAAGUCGAACGAGUGGCGGACGGGUGAGUAAUAUAUCGGCACCUUCCCCUUCGCGGGGGAUCACUACUUGAAACCGUUGCUAAUACCGCAAUCUAUCGGAGGAGCCUCUAUCGGAUUGGCUAGGUGGUGGGGUAAAGGCUCACAAAGGCAACGAUCCGUAGCUGGUUUGAGAGUAUGACCAGCCACACUGGGACGGAGACACGGCCCGAACUCCUACGGGGGGAGGAAGUGGGGAAUUUUGGACAUGGGGGGAAAGCCGGAGCGAGCCAUCCCGCGGGUAUAAGAGGGCCUUCGGUUGGAAAGUUACUUUAGGCGGAGAGGCGGUAUCGGAAGAAUAAGCACCGGCUAACUACGUGCCAGCAGCCGCGGUAAUUC